GCGUGAGAAUCUGCCCUCAGGAGGGGGAUAACGGCUGGAAACGGCCGCUAAUACCCCAUAUGCCGCGAGGUGAAAUGAAUUUCGCCUGAGGAUGAGCUCGCGUCUGAUUAGCUAGUUGGUGGGGUAAAGGCCUACCAAGGCAUCGAUCAGUAGCUGGUCUGAGAGGAUGAUCAGCCACACUGGGACUGAGACACGGCCCAGACUCCUACGGGAGGCAGCAGUGGGGAAUUUUCCGCAAUGGGCGAAAGCCUGACGGAGCAACGCCGCGUGAGGGAUGAAGGCCUCUGGGCUGUAAACCUCUUUUAUCAAGGAAGAAGAUCUGACGGUACUUGAUGAAUAAGCCACGGCUAAUUCCGUGCCAGCAGCCGCGGUAAUACGGGAGUGGCAAGCGUUAUCCGGAAUUAUUGGGCGUAAAGCGUCCGCAGGCGGUCUUGUAAGUCUGUCGUUAAAGCGUGGAGCUUAACUCCAUUUCAGCGAUGGAAA
rnacentral:rRNA from 1 species